rnacentral:lncRNA from 1 species
CUAACCACUACGGGAAAAAAGAACCUUAUCAGUCUUCUGAUCUCCUUACUAUCACCUGGGAGAAAUCCCACCCCGGCUACCCCCCCCCCUGGCUCUUGGCCCUGCCUUAGUGCUUGGAAGGUUUCUAGAACCUCAAUAAAUUUCCUGAAUUUUCUUGCCUUUUCAACCCACUUAUUGCUCACUCCCUCAGUCCUGUUACCAAAUACCUUGGCUUAAAGACACAGCUGCCAGAACAGGUGAGUAUAAAACACCUUUUCUCUUUUCCCUUUACCCCUUAAGUUAAAUUGGGGUCAACAGGAUUUUUUUUUUCCUUCUCCUCUUUGUCUCUCAUUUCCAUCUCCUUUUACUUUAAGGAGGUGGCUCAGUAGAGAGAGGCAGGCCAGGCUUACCUAAUCAACUAAGCAAGGAGGAACCUCAGGAGAAGGAGCUCUUAGGAGCUCCUAGCCCACAAAAAACAGCUGAAUACAGCUAGGGAGCUAACUUAAAACCCAUUUUUUUUUCUGUUUCCUGGCCUUUCUAGUCUUAAAAAUUUAAGUGGGCUUUGCUCAAGGAAGAUAGCACAUGGUCAUAGCGGCUUUAGCCUGAGGGCCAAAGAAGAUUGCUGGGACCCACCCACAUACACUUUGUAAGAAGGAGAAUUUACAAUACAAUAGGCCCUUAGCCUGUAUAGGGUUGUAGACUCAGAGCCACCUACUGUAAAAAGAAAAAGCCUGUGGAAAGUUUGUUGCUUUGCCCUGCUCCCCACUUGCUUUGUGAAAUUACAAAAUAUACAUAUAAAAAUGAGUACUAUAUCCUUUGACAAUUAUAAGGCAGCUGAAGAAGUAGGGGCAUUGAGGAAUGAAGGAUACCUCCAAAUUUUUAUAUUAAUAGGUACUGUCAUUUUUGUACUCCUCAAUACUAUAUUUAGAGAUGAAAAAAUAAAAAAAAUUGAGGAUAAAAUAAAACAAAAUGAGGAGAAAAUAAAACAAAAUGAGGAGGAAAUAAAGCAAAAUGAGGAUAAAAUAGAAAAAAUUGAGGAUAAAAUAGGAAAUAUUGAGAAUAAAAUAGGAAAUAUUGAGGAUAAAAUGGGAAAUAUGGAAGAUAAAAUAGGAAAAAUUGAGGAUAAAAUGCAAGCCCAAUUAGAAGAUCUAAAAAGUUUCUUACAGGAUCAAUUGACAAACAACCACUCUACCAGAAAUAGACCUGUUUCUGAACCUUUGAAUGAGGAAAUUUCCUUCCCUGAAAUAGAGAUGGAAAAUACCUUUCCUAUAGCCAAGUUAACAGACUGCUUCUCUCGUGUAGUGCAAAUCUUGUCUGAAUUUAAUCCCCAAAACCCUUCCCCGGCAAUCCCAGAUUCUCAUGUUCCUUCUCCUACAGAAAACCAAAUUCCAAUGCAAGAGAGAUCUUGUCCCCCUAGAAAAACCUGUCCUUGUCAAACUGACCCACAGGUGCAAAAUCCAACUAGAGGCCUGUUUCCUCUAAGAGAAGUACCUGAAAUAGGACGAAAUGGGGAUGUGGUGACUUUAAGACAUAGGAUACCGUUUACUCCCCAAGAAAUAAAUGAAUUUACACGAAAUAUUCCCACAUAUGAACAAGAUCCUUUUCUAGUAACAAAAAAGAUGGGAGACAUAUUUUUUCAGUAUAAUCCGUCUUACAAGGACGUUGAGAGCUUACUCCAGGCUUUUUUAAGUGAACGUGAAAAAAAUAAAAUAAUUGCUCAUGUCAACAAAACCAGGGGGCGUAAUGCAGCACAUUGGCCAUCUCAGGAUCCCGAAUGGGACUAUAACAAUCCUGAGGAUUAUCUACAACUAUACCGUUGUAGAGAGGCCAUCCUCACGUCCAUGAAGGAAUGUGCGGACAGUACAGAUAAGUGGAUGGAACUGGAAAAAAUUAAGCAAAAGGAAAACGAAACACCCUCCAGAUUUAUGGACAGAAUUAUCGAGUUUGGGGACAGAUACUUAGAUUGGGACUUAACUAAAGAGAGUAGUAUAAGACAAGUUAGAAGAAUCUUUGUAAACAAUUCUUGCAAAGCAAUUAAAAAUUAUUUCAAAACACAAUGCCCAAGAUGGUCAGAUAUGGACCUUGAAGAAUUGCGAAAAACAGCUAUAUAUGUUUUAAAGGGAAACGAAGAAAAGGAGAAAGAAAAUGAUGAUGACAUGGAGGAAAUGAAGAAAAAAAUGAGAUAUUUAAUAGAUAGGAUAACUAAAUUAGAAAGUGGGCAGGGUAAUGAACCAACGACAAUUGCCCCUCUCCAGAAAUCCAAUUAUCAAUCCAUUACUUGCCACUUCUGUGAGAAGAAGGGCCACAAAAUGAUGGAAUGUAGAACCUUUCUUAAGAUGUUUGGAAGGAAUACACAGUUUAAUAAUAGUUUUAGAAAUAAUAACUAUAAUGAAUAUAGAAAUAAGAACUUUAGAAACCAGAAUUAUAGAAAUAGGAAUUGGGAAAUUAAUGACAAUGCUCAAAUUGAAGAAAAUUUUAAUGAUAAUACUCAACAAUAUAUGAGAAA